AGAGUUUGAUCAUGGCUCAGAUUGAACGCUGGCGGCAUGCCUUACACAUGCAAGUCGAACGGCAGCACGAGAGCUUGCUCUUGGUGGCGAGUGGCGAACGGGUGAGUAAUAUAUCGGAACGUACCCUAGAGUGGGGGAUAACGUAGCGAAAGUUACGCUAAUACCGCAUACGAUCUACGGAUGAAAGUGGGGGAUCGCAAGACCUCAUGCUCAUGGAGCGGCCGAUAUCUGAUUAGCUAGUUGGUGGGGUAAAAGCUCACCAAGGCGACGAUCAGUAGCUGGUCUGAGAGGACGACCAGCCACACUGGAACUGAGACACGGUCCAGACUCCUACGGGAGGCAGCAGUGGGGAAUUUUGGACAAUGGGCGCAAGCCUGAUCCAGCAAUGCCGCGUGAGUGAAGAAGGCCUUCGGGUUGUAAAGCUCUUUUGUCAGGGAAGAAACGGUGGACUCUAAUACAGAUCACUAAUGACGGUACCUGAAGAAUAAGCACCGGCUAACUACGUGCCAGCAGCCGCGGUAAUACGUAGGGUGCAAGCGUUAAUCGGAAUUACUGGGCGUAAAGCGUGCGCAGGCGGUUGUGCAAGACAGAUGUGAAAUCCCCGGGCUCAACCUGGGAAUUGCAUUUGUGACUGCACGGCUAGAGUGUGUCAGAGGGGGGUAGAAUUCCACGUGUAGCAGUGAAGUGCGUAGAGAUGUGGAGGAAUACCGAUGGCGAAGGCAGCCCCCUGGGAUAACACUGACGCUCAUGCACGAAAGCGUGGGGAGCAAACAGGAUUAGAUACCCUGGUAGUCCACGCCCUAAACGAUGUCUACUAGUUGUCGGGUCUUAAUUGACUUGGUAACGCAGCUAACGCGUGAAGUAGACCGCCUGGGGAGUACGGUCGCAAGAUUAAAACUCAAAGGAAUUGACGGGGACCCGCACAAGCGGUGGAUGAUGUGGAUUAAUUCGAUGCAACGCGAAAAACCUUACCUACCCUUGACAUGUCUGGAAUCCUUGAGAGAUCAGGGAGUGCUCGAAAGAGAAUCAGAACGCAGGUGCUGCAUGGCUGUCGUCAGCUCGUGUCGUGAGAUGUUGGGUUAAGUCCCGCAACGAGCGCAACCCUUGUCAUUAGUUGCUACGAAAGGGCACUCUAAUGAGACUGCCGGUGACAAACCGGAGGAAGGUGGGGAUGACGUCAAGUCCUCAUGGCCCUUAUGGGUAGGGCUUCACACGUCAUACAAUGGUACAUACAGAGGGCCGCCAACCCGCGAGGGGGAGCUAAUCCCAGAAAGUGUAUCGUAGUCCGGAUUGUAGUCUGCAACUCGACUACAUGAAGUUGGAAUCGCUAGUAAUCGCGGAUCAGCAUGUCGCGGUGAAUACGUUCCCGGGUCUUGUACACACCGCCCGUCACACCAUGGGAGCGGGUUUCACCAGAAGUGGGUAGCCUAACCGCAAGGAGGGCGCUCACCACGGUGGGAUUCGUGACUGGGGUGAAGUCGUAACAAGGUA
rnacentral:rRNA from 1 species